rnacentral:rRNA from 1 species
GAUGAACGCUAGCUACAGGCUUAACACAUGCAAGUCGAGGGGAAACGGCAUUAAGUGCUUGCACUUUUUGGACGUCGACCGGCGCACGGGUGAGUAACGCGUAUCCAACCUUCCCAUGACUAAGGGAUAACCUGCCGAAAGGCAGACUAAUACCUUAUGGUCUUCACUGACGGCAUCAGAUGUGAAGUAAAGAUUUAUCGGUUAUGGAUGGGGAUGCGUCUGAUUAGUUAGUUGGCGGGGUAACGGCCCACCAAGGCAACGAUCAGUAGGGGUUCUGAGAGGAAGGUCCCCCACAUUGGAACUGAGACACGGUCCAAACUCCUACGGGAGGCAGCAGUGAGGAAUAUUGGUCAAUGGGCGAGAGCCUGAACCAGCCAAGUAGCGUGCAGGACGACGGCCCUAUGGGUUGUAAACUGCUUUUGUAUGGGGAUAAAGUCAAUCACGUGUGGUUGUUUGCAGGUACCAUACGAAUAAGGACCGGCUAAUUCCGUGCCAGCAGCCGCGGUAAUACGGAAGGUCCGGGCGUUAUCCGGAUUUAUUGGGUUUAAAGGGAGCGUAGGCUGGAGAUUAAGUGUGUUGUGAAAUGUAGACGCUCAACGUCUGACUUGCAGCGCAUACUGGUUUCCUUGAGUACGCACAACGUUGGCGGAAUUCGUCGUGUAGCGGUGAAAUGCUUAGAUAUGACGAAGAACUCCGAUUGCGAAGGCAGCUGACGGGAGCGCAACUGACGCUGAAGCUCGAAGGUGCGGGUAUCGAACAGG